rnacentral:lncRNA from 1 species
GUUGCCAUGCUGUUUCCUUGUGAGGCUGUGGUUUUUGUAGCAGGUUUAUGAAGUUCAUAACCAAUUGAGUGUGGCUGAUUUGGAGAGAUAAUUGUUUAUACCACGGGUGACAAGUCUUUCUUUUGCUCGUGUAUUUUUGACAGUGAUAUCUUUUCAGCUCGUGGUGAUCUGUGGGCUUGAUGAUAACUGUGGGUUCUCCUUUGCCUUUUGGGGUUUAUGUUACUUAUUGAGGUUGAAGCACACUCAACGGGUUGCAUUAACUUAUGACCUUGGAUGGGAAGUUCUGAGCUGAAGAUUUUUCUUUUUCUUUUUAUGAGCUGAAGACUUAUGCUGUUUGGACUGAUGGGCUGGAAAAAGCUAGUGGAUGCUUUGACUAGUGACUUUUCAGGCUCUUGUAUAUUCAUAGCAGCUAGUGUGCAACUUUGAAGUCCAAGCACCCUAGAGUAAAUCAUGCAUUUUAGUUCUCAAUUUAAUGUUUGGACUUUGGAGGAUGGCUCAAGACAUUUUCAUAUGCAUUAUUUUAUCAUGCACAUAAGACACGACUCUUUUGGGUGUGUUCACCAAAAGAAUGUGUGAUGAACUUAUGAAUGCUUUGUUAUUUACAAGCUGCUAUGCUUGUAAGUGUUUUGUACCUGGAAUAGUGGCUAUCAUGGUCCAUCAUCCGUACCUGCAAAAAGUUGCUAUGGUUUGUUGGAUUAAAUUAACAGGGAUCACAUGCAUUUUGGAUGCUUAAAUAAGGAUGACUGUAAAUCUGUUUAAGCUUAGUCAAUAUGAUCUUAUAGGAACUUGUCAGGGUUAUCUAGGAGAAGUUGGCAUUGCUGAACUCUUCCAUUUUGGGUACGAGUUAGUGCUGGAGUAUUCUUACCGGCUGACAGUGAUAAGUUGGAAUUGGAAGCAGUCUUGGCAUGUUUUGCUUGGAGCCCAUGUAGGUCUUGAGUGCUGGAGUUAAUGCUUAGGGUUCACAUUCAUUCCUUAAUUAUGAAGUUUGGAUGAUUUAAUCGUCGUAAAUAUUUGACUUGUCCAAUUUUGAUUGAUCAUUCAUUCAGUGUAGUGAUGUAGCCAUGGGACCUUUGUCCAUAUUCCAUAGACUGUAUAUUUGCGUUUACUUAGCUGAUGCCUUCUAAAAGCAAUGAACAUUCAACUUGUGUCAUGCUUCAUGAAUAGUCUUUUGUUUUUUGACAAAUGCGAAAGAGAAGUUUUUAUACUAUGUAAGAACACAAGGUUUCACUCAUGAUUCUUGUCUGCUGUGAGUCAAGGUAUUUUAGACCAUGCCCUGUAUAGUCUCUUGCUAUCUUGCCUUACAGUUGGGCUGUGUUGAUGUUGGGAUUCCUUAAUGUAAUUUUUGUAGCUGUAAUAUUAUUUUACUCAUUUCAUUUGUAAAAUAAAAAAAAACAUUAUUCUACUCAAUUACCAGCUAAACGCUCAAAGUUGGAAUAUAUAGUGCCAAACUGAGAUCUUUUGCUUCAAAUCCCUCUUUUCUCUUGGAAAAAAACAUUAGUGUUUACUGUUUUACUUGUCUCGAUAUUAUCGGAUGUACCUCUAAAUCAAAUAAGUUUUUUUAUUAAUUUGCAAAUAUACAAGUAGUAAUAGAUUUUCUGAUACGAAUUUUUGAUGCAAUGCAGUUGAUCACCAGGUAAGGUACCAUGGUGAGGAUUAGUGUAUUAAAUGAUGCUCUAAAGAGCAUGUAUAACGCAGAGAAACG